rnacentral:rRNA from 1 species
UACAGAGGUCUCAAGCGUUGUUCGGAUUCAUUGGGCGUAAAGGGUGCGUAGGUGGCGGGGUAAGUCUGGUGUGAAACCUCGGGGCUCAACCUCGAAACUGCAUUCGAUACUGCCUUGCUAGAGUACUGGAGAGGAGAUCGGAAUUUACGGUGUAGCAGUUAAAUGCGUAGAUAUCGUAAGGAAGACCAGUGGCGAAGGCGGAUCUCUGGACGGUUACUGAUACUGAGGCACGAAGGCCAGGGGAGCAAACGGG